CUGGAGUAGAGACCUCCAAUGUGAAGAUGUCUAUGAACCCGUUUGGCGAAAUAGCACUAGAAGAUGCACUCCGAAUAAAGUAGUCAGGUCGGGCCUCCGAGGUUGUGUCCAGUGUGCUGACACUCUCCGGACCGGGCUUGCAAUGGGGGCGGACCGGGCCAUCCACGUGGAUAAUCCGGGAAGUUUGUACCCGCUUUCCAUUGCGAAGAUUCUUAAAGCUCUUGUUGAAUUUGAAAAGCCUGGUCUUCUUCUAGUUCUACUUGGAAAAUAGGUAAAUUUUACAAUUUUUUUUUUUAUUUCGUAUUGUGGAGAAUUAUGCUAUGCAAUGGUUGAAAUUACUUCCAUUACCGUUUUGUACAUUCAAAAGACCUUUUUUUUCCCUUGGGUGCAUUCAUAUUGAGUUUUAUGUGAAAUUUGAUUGAUAAAUGCUUAUUUUCUUUAUAUAUUUUCAUUUGAAUAUAGCACCUUUAUGUGAAGUGGGAUUAUUGUGUACAUGGCGAAUUUAAAGAAAUGAAAUGGAUUUAAGUUGCUAAUUUAAGAAUAUAGUAAUGCUGAGGCAAGGUGCAAAUCUUGAAGCAUAAAGUUUUCAUACAAUUUUGAAAAAUAUGUUGUGCUUGUGCCUUGCUCUUGGCCUGCAUUCUUGCUAUUUACGAUGUCAUUUUUCUUUAUUUGUUUACAUUUUCUAGGUAAGCUUAUUUUUGGGAAAGGUAUGUGCAAGAAAAUUGGAUGAACUCAAAAAAGAAAACAUAGACACAUUUCUUUAAUUAUUCCAAGCAAUAGGAUGUUAGGGAAUAAGCCUAAUUCCAUUUUCGAUGGCAAUAAUGAAUGAGAUGAAAAAUAAAACAUACAAGUUUUAUGGUGGUUUGUCUCAAUUUGAGUGCUACGGUCUACUAAUAUUAUAUAUACAUACAUUUUAGUAAUAAAUUAGAUUGAUCGUUCUUAUUCGAAGUUCAUUGGUCAUUAUUGCGGAGUAUCAGUGGUCAACGCUUCCUUUUUGUAUUUUCCUUUUUUUAACGUGCAUCUCCGUGUAUCCUGAUAAAGAUACUAAAAUGAUAAUUUUUUUCCUCUUUUUUAAAAUCUUGUAGAUAAUGCGCUCCUGUUUCAGAGGAAAAAUCUUAUACUAGUUCCUUUUUAGAAAAGCGUGAGAAUUUGGAAUUGUGCAAAUUAUCCUCGUAUUUAUUUAGCGAGUCAUCAAGUAAAACUUCGGAGAGAGUGAUUAGGAAAACAUUUAUGUCUAGAAUGAAAGGUUUCAUAGAAUCUUCCGUUAUGUCUUGUGUUUAUCUGCUAGAAUACACUCAGACCAUUUGCAAUGUAGGAAAUUCUUGAUAAACAUUUUGAAAUGGAGCUAUUUGUUAUUUGAGACAUCUCAAAGUGGAUGUUAUAGCAAUAACGGUGUAAUAGAGACCAUUAACUUUUGGACACAUUUUUUUGAGACUGCAUAUAACUUUUAGCCUGCUCAAUGGAAAGUUUAGAAAUGAAAUUGCUUUUACAUUUAUUUGUAAGGAUGGUAACUGCUCCAGAUUAACCAUCUUAGACUUUUUUGAUGCAGGCUAUGAUGCUUGGACUCGGGUACGGAUACGUAUCUAAGUGUCGGAUCUUUUAUUUUUUUAAAUGUAGGAUACGGAGACAUGGCUAAAAAGAGUCUAAAUUUUGGACACGGGUACGUGGAUACAUAUUUGAAACUUCAAUUUUUUUACUAAAGAUGUUAUUUUGAAUAGACCAGAAUCAAUUGUUCACAAAGAAGGAAAUAGUAUUAAAUAAGGGAUUAAGACUUAUAAAAUAGAAUCUUGAGAUUUAGUUUUCAAUUAUGAGAAGUUAAGUACUAAAUGUUAUAUAAAAUAGAAAAUGAGGAACUUGAUUGCAAUUUGAAUUUAGUGAGCACUAAAUAGUAUUGUAUGGAACCUAUUUUCAUUUUAUACAAACAAAACUCUAAACUGCAAAUGCAGAGAGGAAAGAAUGAAAAAAAGGAGAGCCUUUCUCCCCCCUCUCGGAGAUAGCGCUAGGUUUAUAGAGAGUAGAAAAAAAAAAGCAAAAAAGAGCGAAGUGUUCGGUUGAAAUUUGGAGGAUCCGAUAUAUAUCCCAUACCCAUACACAUGUCGUGUCGUAUCCGACACGAGUACUUCAACCAUUUCGAAGAAUCCGAGCAUCAGAGGAUGUAGGUCCAUUCAUCUGCCCAAUAAUAUAAUUGGUGUAGUUAACAUCAAUCUUUGACCCUCAUUUUGUUGUUGCAUUGGAUGUAGCUAUGUAGAAAUAAAAUGGUUAUUUGUCCAUUAUGAUAUUAGAUAAUAAUUUUUCUUGCAAGGGUUGAUUUUUGAAAAACUGACAUUGAAAAACGUAAAGAAUGUAUUCACUUACUGUGCCAUUCCUUAAUUAAAUCACUAUAUCAAUUAAAUCACUAUAUCAAUGAUUUUUGAAGUUUCAGUAACUGCUACUGCAUUGUCAUGGCGUUUGAUAAUGGAUGCUCUUGGUUAUAAAUAUUUUGCUGUUUUACUAGUUAGAAAAUUCUCCGUUCUAUAAUUAGUGUAUUAUAGAGUUCUUUGAAUUAUAUCUCUUUACCUCUUAAAGAAUUUUGAAUCGAACUACCUUCUUGUUACCAAUAUCUGCCUGAUCACUGUUUCUGAUGUUCAAAUUUUGUUCAGGCAAUUGACAAUGACUGCAACCAGACAGGCCAAAUGGUUGCUGGGCUUCUCAAAUGGCCUCAAGGGACCUUUGCCUCCAAGGUUAGCAUUGCAGUCCUCAAGCUUUAUAUAAUAUUAGAUGAAAUUCAUCUUUUUCUCAGAAGUAAUAAUGUGAUGAAUACAUGUAUUAAAAUGUUGAUUUUUCUUGAUUCUGAAAAUUUUUGGACUGAUGAAGCCUAUCUUUCUGUCAAUAGGUAUUAGUAUAAUAUUAACACAAGUUACUUGUUGCUGAUCUGAAUUACUAUGUUGUUGAACCCUUUUAAAAUUUACAGUUAGUGCUAAUUUCUUCCUCUUUUUCCCUCGUGUACCCUCUCUUUGAGCUAAUUCAUUUUUCUGGUCAUUUUUGGUUGUGAUCUUUAUUUCCCCUUUUGACUGCCAUCUAGUAAUAAGAGUCACUGAGUCCGGCUGUAAACAAGGAAGAAUCAAAAUACAACAUGGGGAAUAAGUCAAUCAAAUAGUAUGUAUUAAUUUGGGUUUUAAACAAAAUGGAUUGCUUGUCAGAUAAAUUUUUUCCAAACUUGAACCAAGGAGCAGCUUAUCCUUUCUUUUGUAUUGGGAAAACAGCAUAAGAAUGAGAUUUUGUAACUUGACUUCUUUCUAAAGCUUGGAAGAAAAUGAAAUAUGAAUGGCUGCUCUGAUUGUAGUAAGGAAAUAUGUAAAAGUAAUUGUGUGCACUCUCUAACUCUGUGUCUCAAAAUUUUCUUUAUUCUUAAAUUCCUGCUAGAUAAUUUUUGUGGCGUCCUUGCAGUGAUAUAGAUCUUAUCAUUCAACUGUUGAGUGGCUAAAAUAUGUAUUUGACUAGCCUCUAUGAUUACGCUCUUGUUUAACUUGGUGGCCUUGUGAAUCCAUCAUGACCGUCUUUCUAUAUUCUGUCUACUGACUUUUGCAUGGUAAAGUUACACAAUUAUAAAUAGAAGUAGAUUAUAAUUGUUAUUUAGCAUCAUCAACACAUUUUUACCCUUCUCGAGAAUUUAAGGUUUUAUUUGUUUGAUCAUAUCAUAUGGCAUGUAAUCACUUUCUUGUAGGGGCAAGUAUUUUAACAGGAGUCAAAUCUCUCGAAUCAAAACCAAACCAUAAUUGGAGGUUCAGGUCCAGUUAUUAAACGGACCCAAAUAAUUUUAUUUAUGAAAUACUCAAAGUGUAAGAGGUAGUUCUAGGUAUUAAAAUACCCGGACUGACACCAUCUGACGCCUAGGCCUACUUUCUUGCACAUUAGUGUCCUGAAAAUUGAGCAGAGGGGAAGAGAUGAAAUCCUUUGACCCUUCCAAAGAUAAAGAAGUUUAGCACUAAAAAUUUCCGUCUUUUCAUUGAAUUCUUAAAUCAGGGAAAGCAAUGUUGAUCUGCAAUUUUGGUUGCCUUGUUCAUAUUAUUUACAGCUUCUCUUACCCUUGUGCUCCUCUCUGAUUCCACACAUAAAUUUAUAUGUUCUUUAUAUGUCUUGUCAGUUGUGUACUUUCGAAAGUUCUGGUGCGGCAAACAAAUACAUGCAAAUCUUAAACAUGAACAGCAUUGAUAGAAUUAUUCAAGUAGUUAUGUUACUAGUAAUUUCUUUGACAAAAUUCUGUUAUCACUGUUGUCAUUCACUACAAAUCUCAUAAUCCAAACGUCAGUUGAAGCUUGUCACUCAUGCUCUACCAUCUUCAUUUGUUUUUCAUGGAGCCAGCUGAAGUCUGCUCUUUCAUGGUGUUUGAAAGAUCCCCUUUUCCUUGGUUACAGUCCAUGUGCAUUUGUUCUACUUUCUAUCUAAACUUACAUUUUCCUGAAAAUUAAGAAACAGGUAGUAACGGUGGACAGAGAGGUUGAUGGCGGUCUUGAGACUUUGUGUUUGGAAUUACCUGCAGUAAUCACGUAAACGUUUCUUUCUAUGCUGCUAUAGCUUAUUUUCAGAAGACAUUUUAUAUGUGUAUACAUUCUUUGGUGGAUGCUUUUCCUGAAUUUUAUGUUCUUCUGUUCAAGUCAAGAAAAUGGGAAAAAGGAGUUAAUAAUAUUAAAUUUACUUGCACAAGUCAUGACCAGAGUCCAGUUGCCAGGUGACGUAAACAACUUAGUUUGGAGCAAGUGCCUAAAGGAGUGUGCAAGUAAUGUUUUUAGGUUAUGUUACGUGCAUUUGGAGGGCAAUGGCUUUGAACAAGACAACGAGUCUUUUUUAGACACUGAAAUCUUUGAACACUCGUGGACUUGUCUCUAAUGCUUCUGCCAUUGGAUGUGCUCAUAUCAAUAAUUUCCUUCGUUUUUUACAUUCUGGCCGUAGUCGGACACUUGACAUGUUCGAAUUUAAGCAUAAAUUCCUCAUUUAGUGAAGAAAUUAUCAUAUAGACUUGUGAGCAUCUGCUUCUUCUUCCUUUAUUUGUUUUUUUUUUUUUGGUUUUUUUCUUCCCUUAAUUUUGGACUGAAAGGAAACUUAUU
rnacentral:lncRNA from 1 species